rnacentral:rRNA from 1 species
AUUGAACGCUGGCGGCAGGCCUAACACAUGCAAGUCGAACGGUAACAGGAAGAAGCUUGCUUCUUUGCUGACGAGUGGCGGACGGGUGAGUAAUGUCUGUGAAACUGCCUGAUGGAGGGGGAUAACUACUGGAAACGGUAGCUAAUACCGCAUAACGUCGCAAGACCAAAGAGGGGGACCUUCGGGCCUCUUGCCAUCGGAUGUGCCCAGAUGGGAUUAGCUAGUAGGUGGGGUAACGGCUCACCUAGGCGACGAUCCCUAGCUGGUCUGAGAGGAUGACCAGCCACACUGGAACUGAGACACGGUCCAGACUCCUACGGGAGGCAGCAGUGGGGAAUAUUGCACAAUGGGCGCAAGCCUGAUGCAGCCAUGCCGCGUGUAUGAAGAAGGCCUUCGGGUUGUAAAGUACUUUCAGCGGGGAGGAAGGGAGUAAAGUUAAUACCUUGGCUCAUUGACGUUACCCGCAGAAGAAGCACCGGCUAACUCCGUG